rnacentral:rRNA from 1 species
UGCGGCGCAUUAGCUAGUUGGUGAGGUAACGGCUCACCAAGGCGACGAUGCGUAGCCGACCUGAGAGGGUGAUCGGCCACACUGGGACUGAGACACGGCCCAGACUCCUACGGGAGGCAGCAGUAGGGAAUCUUCCGCAAUGGGCGAAAGCCUGACGGAGCAAUGCCGCGUGAGUGAUGAAGGUUUUCGGAUCGUAAAGCUCUGUUGCCAGGGAAGAACGCUUGGGAGAGUAACUGCUCUCAAGGUGACGGUACCUGAGAAGAAAGCCCCGGCUAACUACGUGCCAGCAGCCGCGGUAAUACGUAGGGGGCAAGCGUUGUCCGGAAUUAUUGGGCGUAAAGCGCGCGCAGGCGGUCAUGUAAGUCUGGUGUUUAAUCCCGGGGCUCAACCCCGGAUCGCACUGGAAACUGCGUGACUUGAGUGCAGAAGAGGAGAGUGGAAUUC